UAAUACAUGCAAGUCGAACGCACUUUCGUUAAUUGAUUUUGAGAUGCUUGCAUCGAAGAUGGUUUUAACUAUAAAGUGAGUGGCGAACGGGUGAGUAACACGUGGGUAACCUGCCCAGAAGUGGGGGAUAACACCUGGAAACAGAUGCUAAUACCGCAUAACAAAAUUAACCGCAUGGUUGAUUUUUAAAAGAUGGCUUCGGCUAUCACUUCUGGAUGGACCCGCGGCGUAUUAGCUAGUUGGUGAGAUAAAGGCUCACCAAGGCAGUGAUACGUAGCCGACCUGAGAGGGUAAUCGGCCACAUUGGGACUGAGACACGGCCCAGACUCCUACGGGAGGCAGCAGUAGGGAAUCUUCCACAAUGGACGCAAGUCUGAUGGAGCAACGCCGCGUGAGUGAUGAAGGCUUUCGGGUCGUAAAACUCUGUUGUUGGAGAAGAACGUGUGUGAGAGUAACUGCUCAUGCAGUGACGGUAUCCAACCAGAAAGCCACGGCUAACUACGUGCCAGCAGCCGCGGUAAUACGUAGGUGGCAAGCGUUAUCCGGAUUUAUUGGGCGUAAAGCGAGCGCAGGCGGUCUUUUAAGUCUAAUGUG
rnacentral:rRNA from 1 species